UCCUCCUCCGCAGAACCCCGCCUCCACUCACUCCUCCUCCGCCUCCAGCGCCACCUCGUAUCUCCUCAAUCCCGACAUGUCCUGGGUUCCGAGCGUCUCCUGGGGAGAGGCAUGAUUGGAUCAAGUAUUCCCCAGUCCCAGGUACCCUUCUCCGUCAUUCUCGGGACGAAUCUGACCAGGUCGCAGACAUUCAAUCAACAGCUAUGUACUGAGUGUCUACUCCAUGCCAGGCACUGUGAUGAACAUAGGGAUAUAGUAUUAAAGAAUUACAGGCAGUCUCCACCCUCGAAGAACCAUCAUCUGGGGUACAGCUGGGAUAGUCAAAAGAAGCUGGGAUAGAUCAUUAUAAUAAAUGGAACAGACUGGCUGGGGAAGGUAGAGAGUGCUUCACCAGAGCCAAGAAGGGCAAUUAACCCAUUGUAGGGGUUUGGAAAUAGCUGCCUCAGAUCUCUGACAUUCCAACCAAGUUCCACUACUCACCCAGUUUGUCUGGGAGAGGCAGAAGAGAAUCUUGUGGCUGAACUGAUUGUAUGGGAGAGAAUGACUCAAAAUAAGCAAGAUGAAAGUUUGCUCAGCUGAAAUGGGAAGAAUGGAUGCACUACCUGAUCAUCCAUUAACCCCUUUUCUCUCUCAUAUGUCCGUCUUCCCAAGCCUGUGCUACAUACAGACAACACAGACGAGUGAUUGUUAGGUGGCUUUAUUGGAAGCACUGCAGUCUGGACCUGAAGAGGCUGUGAUCUUGCCACACUCACCCUUUUGCUCACACUCACAUUGAUACUCCUGCCCUGGUUGAGUCUGGUCUGGUGCAGAGCAGCCUGGUCUUCCCUUCUGGUCCUUGGUUCUCCAGGCCAAGGAGAUUCCCUUCACUCAGGCACAUGGCUUCAUCUGGUGUUGUCAUGGUUUAACCACUGUGGAGCUUGACUCUUCAGGAGAAAGGAGAGGCACAGUCCUGGGAUGGGUAGAAUCUUCAAUAGGGCCUUAGAAGUUGGAGGCAGGUCCAACGAGGACAGGUUUUGCCUUUGCAAAGGACUUCUUCAGUAUUUGGAUGAUGUGACACACCCUGGGCCAACCUGGGUUGCCUAGAGCUGAUGGACUCUCAGUUUGGUGAAUCUGGAGUCAGAGGUCAGAGAGAAUGGAGUCCUGGAAUCCAGCUUCCUAGAAGGCUGUAGUGUGAGGGGCAAAGAUGGGCAUUUAUCCCUGGUUCAUGAGAAUGCUAAACCUUUGGUACAUAUGGUCCCUGACUCAUGAUGAUUUGACUUAAGAAUUUUUAACUUUAUAAUGGUGCAAAAGGUAUAUGCAUUCAGUGGAAUGCAUACUUCAAAUUUUGAAGUUUGAUCUUUUCCUAUCCCAGUGAUAACGUGACACAGUACUCUUUUUGGGGUGCUGGACAGUGGCAAUAAGCCCCAACUCCCAGGUGGUCAUGUGAUCAUGAAGAUACAUAACUAAUACUCUGCAGUGUACUGUAUAAACUGAUACUUAGCAGGUUGGGCAAAUUAAAUGCAUUUUUGAUGUAGGAUAUGUUCAACUUAUGAUAGGUUUUUAGGGACAUAACCCCAAUGGAAGUUUAGGAGCAUUUAGGAGCAUAUGUAAAAAAAGUGUCUUAGAUAUUCAUGAGCCCUUUGGAUGAUUUUAUGCUGAAAGAUGAGAUGACUCAGAAUGGGGACUCAUCACCAUAAAGACCAAUCAUAUGGUUAGAGGGUUGGAACUUUAAGUCAGCCAGACCCUAGAGAAGGAGAGAGAGGCUGGAGAUUGAGUUCAGUAUGUGGGCAACAGUUCAACCAAGGCUAUGUAAUGCUAUCUCAAUAAAAACUGACCACCAAAGCUCACAGAAUUUCCUGGUUGGUAAACAUAUUGAUGUGUCAGGAGGGCAAUGUAUAUCCUAUGUCCCCAGUGAAAGCAUGAAAGCCCUGCAUUUGGCAUUCUCCCAGACUUUAUCCCGUGUGUCUCUUCAUUUGGACGUUACUGACUUACACCUUUUAUAAACAAUUGUAAACAUGG